rnacentral:rRNA from 1 species
AUGCAAGUCGAGCGGGCAUUUUCGGAUGUCAGCGGCAGACGGGUGAGUAACACGUGGGAACGUACCCUUCGGUUCGGAACAACUCUGGGAAACUGGAGCUAAUACCGGAUACGCCCUUAUGGGGAAAGGUUUACUGCCGAAGGAUCGGCCCGCGUCUGAUUAGCUAGUUGGUGGGGUAACGGCCUACCAAGGCGACGAUCAGUAGCUGGUCUGAGAGGAUGAUCAGCCACACUGGGACUGAGACACGGCCCAGACUCCUACGGGAGGCAGCAGUGGGGAAUAUUGGACAAUGGGCGCAAGCCUGAUCCAGCCAUGCCGCGUGAGUGAUGAAGGCCUUAGGGUUGUAAAGCUCUUUUGUCCGGGACGAUAAUGACGGUAC